rnacentral:misc_RNA from 1 species
AACCUUAUGGACCUGCGGGCGUAUACCUGCGGAAGGAUCAUUACCGAGUUAGGGUAGUCACUCACUGCCCGACCUCCCAACCCUGUGUCUACCACACUGUCGUUGCUUCGGCGGACCGGUUGACCAACUGGUCAUGACCGCCGGGGGCUGGCUCUGUCCCCCCUGGAGAGCGUCCGCCGAUGGCCCAACCACAAAACUCUUGUACCGAAACGUGUCGUCUGAAUUAUAUUUGAGAAAUCA